UCAAGCGCGAAAAGGGCGUUUGGUGAAUGCCUUGGCAGUAAGAGGCGAUGAAGGACGUGAUACUCUGCGAUAAGCGUAGGUUAGCCGAGAAUAGGCUUUGACCCUGCGAUUUCCGAAUGGGGGAACCCACUUGACAGUUAUUUAUUGUUACCUUUGGUACUCAAUAAGUGGCUGAACCAAGUACUUCUUACCUGAAUAAAAUAGGGUUUGAAGAGCAAACCCGGGGAACUGAAACAUCUAAGUACCCGGAGGAAAGGACAUCAAUAGAGACUCCGUUAGUAGCGGCGAGCGAACGCGGACCAGCCGAGCCAUGAUUGUGAUCAGAACACACUGGAAAGUGUGGCCAUAGUGGGUGACAGCCCCGUAUGAGAAGCAAGAUUGGACGUAUUAAGUAGGGCGGGACACGUGAAAUCCUGUCUGAAGAUCGGAGGACCACCUCCGAAGGCUAAGUACUCCUUACUGACCGAUAGUGAACCAGUACCGUGAGGGAAAGGUGAAAAGCACCCCGACGAGGGGAGUGAAACAGUACCUGAAACCGGACGCCUACAAUCAGUUGGAGGGGCAUAAGCCCUGACAGCGUACCUUUUGUAUAAUGGGUCAUCGACUUGGUCUAUCUAGCAAGCUUAAGCCGUUAGGUGUAGGCGCAGCGAAAGCGAGUCUUAAUAGGGCGCAUGAGUUAGAUGGAUCAGACCCGAAACCGAGUGAUCUAGGCAUGACCAGGAUGAAGAUAAGGUAACACUUAUUGGAGGUCCGAACCCACACCUGUUGAAAAAGGUCGGGAUGAGUUGUGCCUAGGGGUGAAAGGCCAAUCAAACUCGGAGAUAGCUGGUUCUCCGCGAAAUCUAUUUAGGUAGAGCGUCAUCCGAAUACCCCGGGGGGUAGAGCACUGGAUGGGUAAUGGGGCCCCACAGGCUUACUGAUCCUAACCAAACUCCGAAUACCCGGGAGUACUAGAUGGCAGACACACUGCGGGUGCUAACGCCCGUAGUGGAGAGGGAAACAACCCUGACCGACAGUUAAGGCCCCUAAUUCAUGGCUAAGUGGGAAAGCAGGUGGGACGACCAAAACAACCAGGAGGUUGGCUUAGAAGCAGCCAUCCUUUAAAGAUAGCGUAACAGCUCACUGGUCUAAAUAAGUUGUCCUGCGGCGAAGAUGUAACGGGGCUCAAGCCAUGAGCCGAAACUUCGGACGCAGUAAUGCGUGGUAGCGGAGCGUAGUGUGACAUAGCACCACGCCUCUUUAGCAAUUCUUUUGAAUUGCCUUGGAGGCUUCGGUGCUUUCUGUGAAGCCGGGCUGAAAGGCAUCCGGUGGAGAGAUCACUAGUGAGAAUGAUGACAUGAGUAGCGACAAAGAGUGUGAGAGACACUCUCGCCGAAAGUCCAAGGGUUCCUGCUUAAAGCUAAUCUGAGCAGGGUAAGCCGGCCCCUAAGUCGAGGCAGAAAUGCGUAGACGAUGGGAACUAGGUUAAUAUUCCUAGGCCAGGAGGAUGUGACGGAUCAUGAAGGUUGUUCACCCUUAUUGGAUUGGGUGGGCCGCUAAUUGGUUCCUGGAAAUAGCCCUCCAUUAGACCGUACCCUAAACCGACACAGGUGGACUGGUAGAGAAUACCAAGGCGCUUGAGAGAACUAUGUUGAAGGAACUCGGCAAAAUACCUCCGUAAGUUCGCGAGAAGGAGGCCCGGUUCCUAGGCAACUAGGGGCUGGGGGCACAAACCAGGGGGUGGCGACUGUUUACUAAAAACACAGGGCUCUGCGAAGUCGCAAGACGACGUAUAGGGUCUGACGCCUGCCCGGUGCCUGAAGGUUAAAAGGAGGGGUGAGAGCUCUGAAUUGAAGCCCAGGUAAACGGCGGCCGUAACUAUAACGGUCCUAAGGUAGCGAAAUUCCUUGUCGGG
rnacentral:rRNA from 1 species